GAUGAAGAACGUAGCGAAAUGCGAUAAGUAAUGUGAAUUGCAGAAUUCAGUGAAUCAUCGAAUCUUUGAACGCACAUUGCGCCCCCUGGUAUUCCGGGGGGCAUGCCUGUUCGAGCGUCAUUAUAACCACUCAAGCUCUCGCUUGGUAUUGGGGUUCGCGGUUCCGCGGCCCCUAAAAUCAGUGGCGGUGCCUGUCGGCUCUACGCGUAGUAAUACUCCUCGCGAUUGAGUCCGGUAGGUCUACUUGCCAGCAACCCCCAAUUUUUACAGGUUGACCUCGGAUCAGGUAGGGAUACCCGCUGAACUUAAGCAUAUCAAUAAGCGGAGGA
rnacentral:misc_RNA from 1 species